CACCACCACCACCACAGGCUUCCAGAUGUUGAGCGAUAACGUGAAACCUCCAAAAGCGUUCAAGACUUGAGUGUGGAUGGUGACGGUGCAAAGUCUGACAGCAGCAGCAGCAGCAGUGCGUUUCCUCCUGACGCAUCUGCGGCUGCAAAAGUCUACAUCGUCUCCUGACCCAGCGAUGAUCCCCGCCGCCAUGAAUUAUGCAUGAGAUCCGGGUGGGGAUUUCAUCACCAGCUUAAACUUCUGACAUGCCAAACACGCAAUUUUCCUGCAAAUAGGUGAGAGGAGGUGCGAGCUGCUCGUCCUGCAUGGCUCCUGAUUCAGCACCAAGGAGAAGACAUGCGAGAGGCACACACACACACUCCAUCAUCAUCAUCGUUACCAUCCUCACCUGCAGUGUGAUUAAGUAGACACUAGUUUCAGAAAAAACAUGUGUCAAGCACUGCGGUUUUGUCGCAGACGCUUAAAAGGCGCUGCAGCUUCUACGGGGUUAAACAGAGGCAGAGCAGCUGCUUGGAACAGCUCCCACAACACAUGAGAGGAAGAAGGGAAAAAAACAAAAGGAUGGUUUGGACUGGAUCAUUAGCAUUUUUUUAGACUAAUCAUCUCAUUCCCUCUUGUGUAAACAUCAGGCCUACAGUGACAGUUCAGGCACAACAGAGCUGCAGCGGCGCACUUGUGCGCUCAGUUAAUCGCUGGUCGACUGGAAACA